AUCUGUUUCUUUCAAGAGCAGAAGCGCUCUCUCUCUCUGGCUUGCGUUUUCGAGGAUUUGCAGAGAGAUGGAAACUUCAAGCAAAGAGGUCUUCAAAGGUUCACGAUUAUAUUACCAAGCAGUUCUUAAUUCAUGUCGUCAAAGAGUUAUGAAUUUAAUUUGCCUGACUUCUGGACAGAAACAGAGUGUGCAAUCAAGAGGGCAUACUGUAUGACCGAUACAAACAAUUCUGGAGAAAGCAGUUGAUUUUGAAAGAGGAGGUUCAACUGUAAUCACAACAAUAUUCAUCUGUUGUGGCUGCUAUACAUAUGCAUCGUAUAUCUGAUUUCAAGCUUUCUCAAGGUCUUCUUGAUGAUAUAAUAAAGGCAGGGUGUAGAUUUCUAUGGGGACAGAAUUAAAAUGAAAGGAAACUUCACUGGUUGGUUAGGAUUGUUCGUGUUUGCGAAGCCUUAUGAAGGACUGGGAAUAAAGGACCUCAAUAUCCCAAACUUGGCAUUGCUGGCAAAGCUAGGAUGGCAGCUGUUAACCAAAGUGGAUCUCUAUGGGCUACCCUUAUGACAGAUCAACCUACAAGCUUGGUGCUCAGAUGUCUCCUUGCACAUCCCGCUUGGUUGAUAGAGAUUUGGCUACUCCAGAGGUGGUGUAGAAUUGUAAAGUUCCACCCAAGGUGAAGUCUUUUCUGUGGAAGGCUUGUUUAAGGGCUAUAGGAGUGAUUGAUAAUUUGAAGGUGAAGCACAUUGUCAGUUAGAAGUGUGUCUUAGAUGCGUGGACAAGGCCCUGAGAGUGGAACAUGCACUUCUUUACUGCUCUUUGUCUCAGCAGGCUUGGUUUGCUCUUCCCAUUUCUAUAAGAUCUUCCAUAAUCCUGAGCUUAUAUUACCCCUUGAAGAUUAUAAAGUGGGUAGAGUCCCCAGAACUACCAAAAAGGAGCAGCACAGGUUCUUUACUUCUCAUGCUAUCAUUUUCUGGGAGAUAUGGAAGAUGAGGAAUGCAAGAGUAUUUAAAACCUCAUUACCCUCAUUCUGGUCAUGGAUUUCAGUGGUGAAACAAAAUGUGGAGGAAGCUCUCUCCUUGAUUCCUCAAACUUUUGUUGGUCGGGAAUUGUUACUACUUACUACUGUGGAGCCCACCCCACCUCAUGAUGAGUCCUUUAUUAUCUAUACUGAUGCUGUCUUAUCUACCCGUCCCAAAGCAAUGGGGUUGGGAUGUAUCAUCUUUGACCAUAUGAGGAGACUCAGAUUGUUGGCUACUGAUCACUUAGUUUUCAUGCCUGCAUUGGUGGGAGAAGCUUCUGCCAUUAGAUUGGCCUUUACUGCAGCUUGACAUGCUAGACUGACUCAUAUCACUAUAUACUCAGAUUGUCAGUUGCUAGUAAAGAGCUUCUUUUCAUCUCCUUAAACAUCCUUCAUCUAUUAUAUUCACUUUAGCCAUGGACAUCUUGAAGCUGAAGACUGACUUUACUUUUUGUACUUUUCUGCAUAUAAUUAGGUCUGCUAAUGUUUUGGCCCAUUCUAUAUCUAAAUGGGCUUCCUUCCUUCCCUUGUCAAGGGUUUUGGGAGUUCUCUUUUUCAUAUUGUACAGCAGUUUCUGCCUGUUGAGUCCUAUAAAUCCACCCCUCCCCCCCCCCCCCCCCCAAAAAAAAAAAAAAAACACAAAUAUUGGAGACCCCCUAAUAUCAGCCACUGUGAGAGAGGGGACUAUAGGAAGCUCUUGCAAAAAGUGAAUGAGAGUGUAGAGGUGCUUAAUAGCCGACACCAUUUAGUUGGGAUAAGGCUGAGUUGUUGUUGUAGAGGUACUUAAAUUGGAUCAAUAAUUGACUUCUAGGGAUUCCUUCGAUUUCCAUCAAAGCACUUGGUUCGCUAUUCAGGAAGAAGAAGAGGGGCACAUCCUUUUAUCUUUUUUCUCUUUUAAGGAAAAGAAAAGAGUUCUCAUUUAUGGGAUUAUUAUGCGAAGAAAUAGCGUAAGCCUUUUUUUGGUGUAUCUUCCCUUACUGUGGCGCAAACUGUGUUCAUAAGCUGUUUCGGGUGAGAUAUUUGAUCUCUUCUAC